rnacentral:rRNA from 1 species
UACGUAGGGGGCUAGCGUUGUCCGGAUUUAUUGGGCGUAAAGCGCGCGUAGGCGGCUACUUAUGUCGGAUGUGAAAGCCCCUGGCUCAACUGGGGAAGUGCACCCGAAACUGAGUAGCUGGAGUACGAAAGAGGGUCGCGGAAUUCCCGGUGUAGAGGUGAAAUUCGUAGAUAUCGGGAGGAACACCGGUGGCGAAGGCGGCGACCUGGGUCGAUACUGACGCUGAUGCGCGAAAGCCAGGGGGGCGAACGGG